rnacentral:lncRNA from 1 species
UCAGCUUCUGGAACGGCAGUAGGAUCAGAAAGAGUCGAAGGAGACGGUUCGAGCGCAGGCAGGCGGGGAUGGGUUUUCUGUCCAACCAAAAUCGGAUUACAGCAUUCCCUGACUCGACGAACCAUCUAGCGAUUCCAACUUCAUGUUCCCGAGUUGCAGAGAACAAUCCGAACUGAGGCAAUCUUUCCGGAUUCGCUCCGCCUUACAGCCUUGACAGACACCUUAGAAGGAGGCAAAAGACUCCCUUUCUAUCAAGCAAUAUUGAUUAGGAAGAUCCACUUUUUUUAGAAGAGGCGAGGCCCCUAGCGAUAGGAGGAAAGAAGAGUGGGUAUGCGGGCUUCUUUCGCUUGACAAAGAGGCUUUACCAGUCUUUGAACUGCGUCACCAAAGCGAUUCCUGUUGAUGCAACGAACUCUUUCUAUUCCACGAGCCCUUUCGAGAGAGUCUUCUUUCCGCUACUUUCUUUUUCCGGUCUUUUCUUCUUUCUAAAGAACCAGCGAUUUGAUACGUCGGUCUAGUCUCCUCAAAUAGCAAACGUCCGCUGAGAUCGAGAUGUCCCUUAAUUUAGUCGGUACGGUAAUAACGACCAAUUGCAUCACCAACUGGUCAAGUGCUCAGCCUGUCAAGGUCUCUGUCAGAAGCGAAAGUUUCAACCGAAAAUGGCUUAUCAAACUCAGGCAAUUUCAGCACCGGCUAGGGUCGAGCGCCAGCUCGGGGGGUAAGAUCCUAUCUGAAUGAGUAAGAGCUCGAACUUGGUGUAAGGGAAGGGCUAAAAGCCAUAUUGGCUCUAUAGCAGAAAAGGUCUUUCUUUCAUGGACUAGAUCCCAGCAGACAGCGACCCCGGAUCUUAACGCCCUCUGGCCCCUCAUUUCUGCAGUGGAGUUUCCAGCUAAUGGUCCCCCGGAUAGGGUAGUUUGGACUAAAGAACCUUCAGGCCGAUUCUCCUUUAGAUCUGCCUGGGA